rnacentral:tRNA from 1 species
GGGGGGUUAGCUCAGCCGGCUAGAGCAUCAGCAUGACACGCUGGGGGCCGUGGGUUCGAGUCCCACACCUCCCACCA